GUGGGGAAUAUUGGACAAUGGGCGAAAGCCUGAUCCAGCCAUGCCGCGUGUGUGAAGAAGGUCUUCGGAUUGUAAAGCACUUUAAGUUGGGAGGAAGGGCAGUAAGUUAAUACCUUGCUGUUUUGACGUUACCGACAGAAUAAGCACCGGCUAACUUCGUGCCAGCAGCCGCGGUAAUACGAAGGGUGCAAGCGUUAAUCGGAAUUACUGGGCGUAAAGCGCGCGUAGGUGGUUCGUUAAGUUGGAUGUGAAAGCCCCGGGCUCAACAUGUGAACUGCAUCCAAAACUGGCGAGCUAGAGUACGGGAGAGGGUGGUGGAAUUUCCUGUGUAGCGGUGAAAUGCGUAGAUAUAGGAAGGAACACCAGUGGCGAAGGCGACCACCUGGACUGAUACUGACACUGAGGUGCGAAAGCGUGGGGAGCAAACAGGAUUAGAAACCCCGGUAGUCC
rnacentral:rRNA from 1 species